rnacentral:lncRNA from 1 species
AAAUAUGAUAACCAUGGGUGCAGAAAUAGAUACCUCAGGUACCCAAUCUACCAGGUCCUGAUUUGACUAUACCCUGGCCUGACUGUAGAUUUGACCAGGUCCCGGUUUAUCCAGGUGCUGAAGUGACUAUAACUAGACUUCAUUCAUUUUAAGGUUUGGCACACUGGUACCAAGUUAAGAAAACUCUUACUAACUGAAUAUUGAGUCUUACAAGGGUAACAAUAUGGCAGAUCUAAUUAUUCUAAAGG